rnacentral:misc_RNA from 1 species
GGCCCACCGGCCAAGAUAUUAGCACCCACAACGAGUCCGACGAGCAACGGCCCAAACCCUGCAGGGAUGAUCUUCUUGGGAUCGACAAUGGUGCCAUAGACGGAGAAGAGGAGGGAGAAGGUGAGGACUAUCUCCAUGAUCACACCUUGGAGAGAAUCCAUUCCAGUGGCAAGAGUGUGCACUGGGGUAUCUAGCCCUCCGGUGAGGUACUUGAGGAGGAAGCAGGCGAGCGCCGACCCGAGAAGCUGAGCAAUCACGUAGAACACCGACCGAACCACCGUAAUAUUGCCCCCGACGAGGAGCCCCAGCGUCACUGCCGGAUUCAGAUGCCCGCCGGAGAUGUGCAGCCCCGCCGAGAUCAUCACGGCCACUACCAGAGCGUGCGCCACCGCCACCGCCGUCAGCCCCAUUAUCGUCCCAUCGCCUCCGGCCAUCUUCCCGGCUGUCAUGGCGGCACCGACGCCGGCGAAGACGAAAAGGAAGGUGAGGACGACCUCGGCUACGACGGCGCGGAUGCAGUCCGGCUCCGCCGCCUCCCGGUGGCUUCCGAGUGCGAUCUUCGCCAUGAUCGGGAGUUGCUC